rnacentral:rRNA from 1 species
GAACUCAAAGGAGACUGCCAGUGAUAAACUGGAGGAAGGUGGGGAUGACGUCAAGUCAUCAUGGCCCUUACGACCAGGGCUACACACGUGCUACAAUGGCGCAUACAAAGAGAAGCGACCUCGCGAGAGCAAGCGGACCUCAUAAAGUGCGUCGUAGUCCGGAUUGGAGUCUGCAACUCGACUCCAUGAAGUCGGAAUCGCUAGUAAUCGUGGAUCAGAAUGCCACGGUGAAUACGUUCCCGGGCCUUGUACACACCGCCCGUCACACCAUGGGAGUGGGUUGCAAAAGAAGUAGGUAGCUUAACCUUCGGGAGGGCGCUUACCACUUUGUGAUUCAUGACUGGGGUGAAGUCGUAACAAGGUAACCGUAGGGGAACCUGCGGUUGGAUCACCUCCUU